rnacentral:rRNA from 1 species
UGGGGAAUUUUGCACAAUGGAGGAAACUCUGAUGCAGCGACGCCGCGUGAGUGAUGAAGAUCUUCGGAUUGUAAAACUCUGUCCUUAGUGAAGAUAAUGACAGUAACUAAGAAGCAAGCCCUGGCUAAAUACGUGCCAGCAGCCGCGGUAAUACGUAUGGGGCAAGCGUUGUCCGGAAUUAUUGGGCGUAAAGGGUACGUAGGCGGUUUAAUAAGUCCUAAUUAAAAGGCUAUGGCUCAACCAUAGUAUGGUUAGGAAACUGUGGAACUUGAGUAGAUGGGUGGAAAGUGGAAUUCCAUGUUUAGCGGUGAAAUGCGUAGAUAUAUGGAGGAACACCAAUUGCGAAGGCAACUUUCUGGAAUCAAACUGACGCUGAGGUACGAAGGCGUGGGGAGCAACCAUG